rnacentral:lncRNA from 1 species
UUUAAUAACUUUUUUUUAUUAAUUUACUUCCACUGGUACUUUUCUUUUCUCUACCACUAUUCAUUUCUUUUCCCAAUUCUACUCGAAAGUCUGAGAAAACGAAGGUUGGAAGACUACACGACGACGGAAGGCAAAACCCUAUCACUCUCAACUCCGGCGACCGUCUCAUCUCCGGCUACAAUAUUCAUUCUGCGACCCUCUCCGCUCGCUCUAUUCGUUCCCAGCUGCGUCCUCUCUGUCCGUCCCCCCUCCACCGGAACAGUGAGUAUAAUCCUUACUACUCAAUCUUCAUGUUUUUCUAAUUAAUAGAUAUAAUCUUGUUGUGUGAAUCUGGGAAUUGAUUUUGUUGUUGUUGGGAAACUGGGAAUUUGAUGGGAAUCGGUCUUAGUUGCUAUAUGUGUGUAUUGGUUACUUCAAUAUCAUUUUUUAUCUUUGUUCUUUUGGGGAUUGCUUGUUCAUUUGGAAAUUACAAUUGAAAUGUUCAAUUUUCUUGUUGGAUGAUUUACAUUUUGUAGUGAAAACCCUAAAAAUUCAUU